AAGUACUACAGGGUAAAAGUACUCAGAGUACCAGAGUAGAAGUACUCUGCUACAAGUUAAUGUCCUGUAUCUAAAAGCACUGACAUUGAAAUAUACUCUAAAGUAAAACUACUGACUCAGCUGAAGGACCCAUCACAGAGUGAUUUACAUGUUAUUAUAACCAUUACUGAUUUAUUAUUAAUUAGCUUUAGUGACGUUAAUGUGGUAUAAUGAAAUUAUAUCGCCAUCUUAGUUUUUAUUCUGUUUGUAGUUCCUGUCUCUUCAGGAGCGGUGGGAUUCAGAAGCAGAGUCAGAGUGAGACCUCUCUUCUUCCACAGAUGCCCCGCCCCCGCCCCACCAGGCCCCGCCUCUUCCCAGCUGUCAGAGUCCGCUGAGUGGGCGUGGCUGCGUGUUGUCUUCCUGCUCUACCUGCCAGGUGUUCCGCACGCUGCGCGGGUUCAGCUCCUUCUGCCGGUGGAUUUAGUGGAAACAUGGCGGCGCCGCUGACCGAGCAGGAGCAGAGAUCAAGCGCAGUUUUAACCGACACCUUCAUCCUGGUGAAGGACCGGAACGUAGCGACGCCCCGGGACUACUACUUACCCUGGCCCACACCGUCCGGGACCACCUGGUGGAUCCGAACCCAGCUGUACUACUACGAGAAAGACCCGAAGCUGCUGUUUGUCUGUGGAGACAAAACCACACCUGUUACCUGUCCUCUGUUACCUGUUCUUACCUGACGUGGUCUGAGGUGUGACUGCAGUGAACUGACCUCUGACCUGUUUGAGGGUUUAUCAUCUGUCCCUGGAGUUCUACGUGGGCCCUGCAGAACACCAUGAUCAGCCUGCGAUGAAGCCAUCUACCAGGAACCAGGAAGUCGACACAAAACACACUGAUAACACUCACUGUCCUCUGUGUGUGUGUGUGUGUGUGUGUAGCUGAGUUUGGACGUGGAGGAGCUGGAGGAGAUCGAGGAGGACGCUGGUCUCUGACUCACAUGCAGCUGAGUGAACAGAGCAGUUCACCUGCUGUGGUUCACACCUGUCCUGAUCAAACAUCUGUGUGGAGUCUGUGAGACGUUCAGAGUUCCUGUUGAUUUAAAAACUGUAAAUUAAAGCUGUGAGUUUGUGUGAGGUUCAGUUCAGGUGUUUCAGCCUGAAACUGCAGCUGCUUCAGUCUCACACAGAAACACAGACAUGAAACUGGGCGUCUGCUGCUUCAGUUUCAGGACUCUCUGACCUCUGACCUCUGGAUUCAGACUCAUCUAAGACUUGUUAGAAUAAAGGCGUGUGUUUAAAGACUCUUUAAAAUGAGUUGUUUCAGCUUCUUUUUCUAAUGAAAAGGAUUUUGAACUGUUCUGUGCUCAGUUUUAAUAAUUAUAUAAUAAUAAAAAAGAUGAAGCUGAACCAGUUUUUUAAAGUUAGAAAUUAAUGAAUUAAUAAAUGACAGCACAUCAAAGUGAAGUCGGCAGCUCAGGAGAUUGAUCUGAAUUCAUUCAUUAAACUUAUAUUGAAUUCAGUGGUUGUAAAAUAAUUAUUUUUUACAGUGUAAUGUUUUCACCUGGAUGACGCAGCUCAGGUGUCCAGCUGAUCUGAAGCUCUCACAGUUUCAGGAGGUGUUUCUGAAUGAACAGGAAGCUCCUCCCACAGCAGCGGCCGACAGGUGAGUCUCUGAGGCUCCGCCCCCUCACCCCAAGCUUUAUUUGGCACGGGAACAGGUGAGAGCUCAGACCGCAGGA